GGCAGUAAAAGUCGUAACAAGGUUUCCGUAGGUGAACCUGCGGAAGGAUCAUUAAUGAGUUGUCAUGGGGUUCGAUGCUGGCAGCCAGUUUUUGGAUGCAUGUGCUUGCCCUAACAAUCAUCUUCUUCCAAACACCUGUGCACAUUUUUGAGGGAGUCUUGAGUUGGUUGCCGCUCUUGGGUGAUUUUCCCACAUUCCCUUAAAUCAUUAUACGCUAUUAACAAUGUUGAACGUGCUCUGUGCCGCAAGGCCAUUAAUAUAAUACAACUUUUAACAACGGAUCUCUUGGCUCUC
rnacentral:misc_RNA from 1 species